rnacentral:rRNA from 1 species
UGGGGAAUAUUGGGCAAUGGGGCGCAAGCCUGACCCAGCAACGUCGCGUGAAGGAAGAAGGCUUUCGGGUUGUAAACUUCUUUUGCCGGGGGAUAACGGGCGCCACGUGUGGCGCCGUGAAGGUACCCGGAGAAUAAGCAUCGGCUAACUCCGUGCCAGCAGCCGCGGUAAUACGGAGGAUGCGAGCGUUAUCCGGAUUUAUUGGGUUUAAAGGGUGCGCAGGCGGGCGUCUAAGUCAGCGGUGAAAGUUCCCGGCUCAACCGGGUCAGUGCCGAUGAUACUGGGGGCCUUGAAUGCGGUCGAGGCCGGCGGAAUGUGGCGUGUAGCGGUGAAAUGCAUAGAUAUGCCACAGAACACCGAUAGCGAAGGCAGCUGGCCGGGCCUGCAUUGACGCUGAGGCACGAAAGCGUGGGGAUCG